UAUUGAAUUUGCUCUUAAUUUAGAAUACUUGGAAGCUGAGUUCUUUUUGUAUGGAUCAUUAGGCCAUGGAUUGGAUGAAGUUGCUCCGGAGUUAGCAGAGGGUGGACCUCCUCCUAUUGGUGCUAAAUUGGCUAUAUUAGGUCCACUUGUUAAGAUUUUGUAUGGAUCAUUAGGCCAUGGAUUGGAUGAAGUUGCUCCGGAGUUAGCAGAGGGUGGACCUCCUCCUAUUGGUGCUAAAUUGGCUAUAUUAGGUCCACUUGUUAAGGAUAUCAUCUUUCAGUUUGGUAUCCAAGAAGUUGGACAUUUAAGGUUAUUUUUCUAUUACUUUGUUUAACUCAUCUCUAUAGUAUUUUUUUCUAAGUUUUGAAGUAAAAUUGUUUGAAU
rnacentral:lncRNA from 1 species